GAUGAACGCUGGCGGCGUGCUUAACACAUGCAAGUCGAACGGAAAGGCCCAAGCUUGCUUGGGUACUCGAGUGGCGAACGGGUGAGUAACAUGUGGGUGAUCUGCCCUGCACUUCGGGAUAAGCCUGGGAAACUGGGUCUAAUACCGGAUAGGACGAUGGUUUGGAUGCCAUUGUGGAAAGUUUUUUCGGUGUGGGAUGAGCUCGCGGCCUAUCAGCUUGUUGGUGGGGUAAUGGCCUACCAAGGCGUCGACGGGUAGCCGGCCUGAGAGGGUGUACGGCCACAUUGGGACUGAGAUACGGCCCAGACUCCUACGGGAGGCAGCAGUGGGGAAUAUUGCACAAUGGGCGCAAGCCUGAUGCAGCGACGCCGCGUGGGGGAUGACGGCCUUCGGGUUGUAAACUCCUUUCGCUAGGGACGAAGCGUUUUUGUGACGGUACCUGGAGAAGAAGCACCGGCUAACUACGUG
rnacentral:rRNA from 1 species